CCUACGGGUGGCAGCAGUGGGGAAUAUUGCACAAUGGGGGAAACCCUGAUGCAGCGACGCCGCGUGAGUGAAGAAGUAAUUCGGUAUGUAAAGCCCUAUCAGCAGGGAAGAAGAAAUGACGGUACCUGAGUAAGAAGCACCGGCUAAAUACGUGCCAGCAGCCGCGGUAAUACGUAGGGUGCAAGCGUUAUCCGGAUUUACUGGGUGAAAAGGGAGCGCAGGGGGCACGGCAAGCCUGAUGUGAAAGCUCGCGGCCCAACCGCGGGACUGCAUUGGGAACUACCGGGCUGGAGUACCGUAGAGGUAGGCGGAAUUCGUAGUGUAGCGGUGAAAUGCGUAGAUAUUAGGAGGAACACCAGUGGCGAAGGCGGCCUACUGGACGGUGACUGACGCUGAGGCUCGAAAGCGUGGGGAGCAAACAGGAUUAGAUACCCCAGUAGUC
rnacentral:rRNA from 1 species